GACCUGACUUUUCCUCCCUCUUUCUCUAUCGCGCGAGCUCCCAAACGCCGACGCCUGCCUCGACGAUCGGCUGCCUUCUUCUUCCAUUCUCGCGGAGGCUCCGGCGAGGAGGGAUCUCGGAGUGUUGAGAGGGAGGAGAUCCUAUUCUUUCCCCUGACCUUCCCUUCUUCCCUGAUCUCGGCGAACCGCGGCGACGGAGCCUCGAUCUAGGGAUUUCGCCUGCUGACGGAAGGGAAUCGAGGGCACCGGCGUUGGAUCUGGCCAGCGUCGACCGAUUGAGUGAGGUAAGAACCAUUGUCUUCUUCCCGAUCUCUUCUCUGUUCGUCGGCCAGCAUGGAUCGUGCCCUAGCCGUGAGUCUUGGAGAGAAGCAGAAGUUUGUGUUGUGAAUCCAGCCACCACAGCUCUAUUGGGGAUUACUCUUCUUUAUCGGAUCUGUGAUUGUCUUCAGCGAUUAAAGAAGAAGAGGAUCUUGAUCUAGCCGAGCAGCGUGACGUGGGGUGGUUCUGUUGAUACGAGUUAUCUUGAGGCGGGCAGUAGGUAGAUGAUAUGGAGAUGCUUGGAGUAUGUUGCUGGUCGGUCCCCCUUCCCACGUUAUAUCCGAGGACUCUUAUCGGUUUUGUUUCUUUUUCCUACACUUCGUCUUUGUUGGAUUUAGAGUUGUGAAAACGGACUAUGUUUGAUACGUGUAUCUUGGACUUGUAUCUGUGAUGUACUUCGUGGACUUUGUAUUUGUGGGGUUCUUUUUCGUCUUUC